rnacentral:lncRNA from 1 species
AAUAAAAAAUAAUGGACCCAUUAUCAUUCACCUUAAUGGGAGGCUAUGAUCUAGUUAUCCCCAUAACUAGCUCAUUUUAGGGACCUAAUAAUUUAGAAGAUUUAAUUUAUGAGUUAAGAGAAGAGAAGAGAUUAACCAGUAAACCACAAUCCUCCCACUGACUUUAUCAAGUCACUUAAUUAGAUUAGGGUCAUGCUGAUCGAACUGGCAC